rnacentral:rRNA from 1 species
UACGUAGGGUGCGAGCGUUAAUCGGAAUUACUGGGCGUAAAGCGUGCGCAGGCGGUUGUGCAAGACAGAUGUGAAAUCCCCGGGCUUAACCUGGGAACUGCAUUUGUGACUGCACGGCUGGAGUGCGGCAGAGGGGGAUGGAAUUCCGCGUGUAGCAGUGAAAUGCGUAGAUAUGCGGAGGAACACCGAUGGCGAAGGCAAUCCCCUGGGCCUGCACUGACGCUCAUGCACGAAAGCGUGGGGAGCAGACAGG